AACGAACGCUGGCGGCAGGCUUAACACAUGCAAGUCGAACGCUCGUAGCAAUACGGGAGUGGCGGACGGGUGAGUAACGCGUGGGAACGUGCCCUGAGGUACGGAAUAACUGAGGGAAACUUCAGCUAAUACCGUAUGAGCCCCGAGAGGGGGAAAGAUUUAUCGCCUUGGGAGCGGCCCGCGUCGGAUUAGCUAGUUGGUGGGGUAACGGCCUACCAAGGCUUCGAUCCGUAGCCGGUCUGAGAGGACGAUCAGCCACACUGGGACUGAGACACGGCCCAGACUCCUACGGAGGCAGCAGUGGGGAAUCUUGCGCAAUGGGGGCAACCCUGACGCAGCCAUGCCGCGUGAACGAUGAAGGCCUUAGGGUUGUAAAGUUCUUUUACCCGUGACGAUGAUGACGGUAACGGGGAUAAGCUCCGGCUAACUUCGUGCCAGCAGCCGCGGUAA
rnacentral:rRNA from 1 species